GGGUCUCGGCCGAUUAGGUAGUGCUGGGGUAACGUCCCACCAAGCGAUAUCGGUACGGUUUGUGAGAGCAAGAGCCCGAGAUGGAUUCUGAGACACGAAUCCAGGUCUACAGGCGCAGCAGGCGCGAAACUUUACACUGCGCGAAAGCGCGAUAAGGGACCUCAGUGCGUGCGCAAUGCGUACGCUUUUCACAUGCCUAAAAAGCAUGUGGAAUAAGAGCCGGGCAAGACCGGUGCCAGCCGCCGCGGUAACACCGGCGGCUCAAGUGGUGGCCGCUAUUAUUGGGCUUAAAGGGUCCGUAGCCGGACCAGUUAGUCCAUUGGGAAAUCUUACGGCUUAACCGUAAGGCUGCCAGUGGAUACUGCUGGUCUUGGGACCGGGAGAGACAAGAGGUACUUCAGGGGUAGGAGUGAAAUCCUGUAAUCCUUGAGGGACCGCCAGUGGCGAAGGCGUCUUGCUAGAACGGGUCCGACGGUGAGGGACGAAAGCUAGGGGCACGAACCGGAUUAGAUACCCGGGAAGUCCUAGCCGUAAACGAUGCGAGCUAGGUGUCACGUGGAUUGCGAAUCCAUGUGGUGCCGUAGGGAAACCGUGAAGCUCGCCGCCUGGGAAGUACGGCCGCAAGGCUGAAACUUAAAGGAAUUGGCGGGGGAGCACAAGGGCGAAUUCCAGCACACUGGCGGCCGUUACUAGUGGAUCCGAGCUCGGUACCAAGCUUGGC
rnacentral:rRNA from 1 species